rnacentral:rRNA from 1 species
UACGAAGGGUGCAAGCGUUAAUCGGAAUUACUGGGCGUAAAGCGUGCGUAGGCGGCUUUUUAAGUCGGAUGUGAAAUCCCCGGGCUCAACCUGGGAAUGGCAUCCGAUACUGGGGAGCUGGAGUUUGGGAGAGGGUGGUGGAAUUCCCGGUGUAGCGGUGGAAUGCGUAGAGAUCGGGAGGAACAUCAGUGGCGAAGGCGGCCACCUGGCCUAAAACUGACGCUGAGGCACGAAAGCGUGGGGAGCAAACAGG